GCGUAUGUUGUGGGAUCACGUUUGAAGUUCGAAAACAAUGAUUGACUAAUCUGCUUGAUUGUUUAAACAACUACAAAAGCAAACGUUAAAUAAACAACCAACAAUAAAUAUUUAUUAACUAAUAAACGAAUGACAAAUGAGAAAUAUUUAUUAACUAAAAAAUAAAGUUCCGAAAAAAUUGUUGAAGUACCGAAACAACUUACAAAAAGUACCGAAACUACUUACAAAAAGUACCGAAACCUCUUAUUUUUGAAGUACCGAAACUAUCGUGUACCGAAACGACUGUACCCCUAUUGGUUACCCCCUGUCAGUAGCCCCCGAAAAUGUAACUUGAGUAUAAAAGACUGUGCGUGACUGUAUGGAGACUCAUACACGUGUAGCACUUCAAAUUAGUCUUGGGGAAAGAGAAAAACUCUUUUUAAAGGUUAAUUUAGCAACUGGAAGGCAUUUUGAAGUAAUGUACAUCACUACAUGUGUACAUUGUAUGUAUAUAAUUUUGUUUACAGUUUGUACCCCAAGUGACUUUCUGUGGUAACAGAAAUCAUGAGUUAAGAAACCUAUGAGAACUGGCAACAAGAAAGAUGACAAAUACUACAGUGUCUAAGGCAACAGGAUCAGGUGAAAAAAGUGAACUUCCAGCUCAAAGUGUUCCCACAUCAAGAAGGCGUCAAGUUAAAGAUGCAACAAUGAUAGAACAGGUGACUUGAAUAAAGACAAAUGGUUAGAAGGCUAUGUGCUGGAAUAUGUUACAGGAAAAGAUGAGGAAUAUGGUGUAAUGGUAUUGUCCUUAUCGAGCCCUCCGAUACUGUACUAGUGUGUGUAAUGAAACGCACCUUUACUUUGUUGUGUGUAAUACAUCUCUAGAUGGGGCCGUGUACGAUGUAAAAUACAAAGGGAAACAGCAAAAACCAUGGUGCAUAAUCUUCAGCCAGACUUACAUAAUGGUGAUCUUAAAUUUGGGGAUAUUAAGGCAAUCCCACCUGUGUAUCCAAACCACCCUGCCAUUUAUCACAGCCUGCUGACCUAACCAGUAACAUGCUGAGGACCCGCUCAUACGAGG